rnacentral:rRNA from 1 species
AUUUUUAUGGAGAGUUUGAUCCUGGCUCAGGAUGAACGCUGGCGGCGUGCCUAAUACAUGCAAGUCGAGCGAACAGAUAAGG